rnacentral:rRNA from 1 species
UACGAAGGGUGCAAGCGUUACUCGGAAUUACUGGGCGUAAAGCGUGCGUAGGUGGUUCGUUAAGUCUGUCGUGAAAGCCCCGGGCUCAACCUGGGAAUGGCGAUGGAUACUGGCGGGCUAGAGUGCGGUAGAGGAGAGUGGAGUUCCCGGUGUAGCAGUGAAAUGCGUAGAGAUCGGGAGGAACAUCAGUUGCGAAGGCGGCUCUCUGGACCAGCACUGACACUGAGGCACGAAAGCGUGGGGAGCAAACAGG